GCUUCCGUGGCACAGUAGGUAGCGCGCAUCCUUGGUAAGGAUGAGGUCGGCGGUUCAAGUCCGCUCGGAAGCU
rnacentral:tRNA from 1 species